rnacentral:rRNA from 1 species
UACGGGAGGCAGCAGUGGGGAAUAUUGCACAAUGGGCGCAAGCCUGAUGCAGCCAUGCCGCGUGUAUGAAGAAGGCCUUCGGGUUGUAAAGUACUUUCAGUCGUGAGGAAGGUGUUAAGGUUAAUAACCUUAGCAAUUGACGUUAGCGACAGAAGAAGCACCGGCUAACUCCGUGCCAGCAGCCGCGGUAAUACGGAGGGUGCGAGCGUUAAAUCGGAAUUACUGGGCGUAAAGGGCACGCAGGCGGUUAAUUAAGUUGGAUGUGAAAUCCCCGGGCUUAACCUGGGAAUGGCAUUCAAGACUGGUUAGCUAGAGUCUUGUAGAGGGGGUAGAAUUCCAUGUGUAGCGGUGAAAUGCGUAGAGAUGUGGAGGAAUACCGGUGGCGAAGGCGGCCCCUGGGACAAAGACUGACGCUCAUGUGCGAAAGCGUGGGGAGCAAACAGGAUUAGAUACC